rnacentral:sRNA from 1 species
UGCAUCUGAGGUUUGUGAGGAUGAGAACCUCCGGGGUAGAGGUUCGACUCGAGCGGAGCGAGAGAACGUUGCGACAGCAACGGCCCGCAGGGCGAGUCACGUAGUGGCGAGUUAUCCUCUAUCACCGACCA